rnacentral:rRNA from 1 species
UACGGAGGGGGCUAACGUUGUUCGGAAUUACUGGGCGUAAAGCGCACGUAGGCGGCUUUGUAAGUUAGAGGUGAAAGCCCGGGGCUCAACUCCGGAAUUGCCUUUAAGACUGCAUCGCUAGAAUUGUGGAGAGGUAAGUGGAAUUCCGAGUGUAGAGGUGAAAUUCGUAGAUAUUCGGAAGAACACCAGUGGCGAAGGCGACUUACUGGACACAUAUUGACGCUGAGGUGCGAAAGCGUGGGGAGCAAACAGG